rnacentral:rRNA from 1 species
CCUACGGGUGGCAGCAGUGGGGAAUAUUGGGCAAUGGGCGAAAGCCUGACCCAGCAACGCCGCGUGAAGGAAGAAGGCUCUCGGGUUGUAAACUUUUUUUGACAGGGAAGAGCAGAAGACGGUACCUGUCGAAUAAGCCACGGCUAACUACGUGCCAGCAGCCGCGGUAAUACGUAGGUCGCAAGUGUUGUCCGGAUUUACGGGGUGUAAAGGGUGUGUAGCCGGGCUGGGAAGCUAGAUGUGAAAUCCCGGGGCUAAACCCCCGAAGUGCAUUUGAAACUGGUGGUCUUGAGUAUCGGAGAGGCAGGCGGAAUGCGUAGUGUAGCGGUGAAAUGCGUAGAUAUUAGGAAGAACUCCGAUGGCGAAGGCGGCCUACUGGACGACAACUGACGGUGAGGCGCGAAAGCGUGGGGAGCAAACAGGAUUAGAUACCCGUGUAGUC